GCUCAGCACGGGGCCACGGCGCAGUUGCUACUCAGACACGGGGAUGCUCGCAAUGCCUCUAUCAAAGACGCGUCGCACUGUGUUGUUAUGUGUUGUCAUAGUUAUUUCAUUGAAAAAUUAAUUUCACCGUUUUCGAAACUUGCACCGAUUUCUGUCUGUGAAACACAAAGUCUGAACAACUCCUCUUAAGUUUUGCCGAAUCCAAAAAUAGAAAAAAGAAAAAAAGAACAAAAAAAAGAAAAAGAUUAAGCAAAAAAAAAAAGAAAAAGAGAAUAGACUCGAUUAUUUAGAAAACUUACUUUCGAACGUGAUUCGUUUCAAAAUUACGACGAAUAAGAAGACGACGAGGAAGAAAAAAAGAAGAAAUAGGAAACCAAGAAAAAAUAUUAAAAAAGCACAAAAAAAAGAGAAGAAACGAAAUUUAAAACAAAAGCAUUGCCUUAAGGAAGAAGGAGAGUAAUUAAUACCUACACCGUCGAAGGAGCAAACGAGAGACAAAGGGGGGAUAAAAAAAGGAAACAAAAAAAAACACUUUAGACGUCUACAAAGUAAAUUGUAAAGAAAUGACUAAAGUAUAUUUUUAACAAGUUUUGAGAAAACUUUAGAUUUUAAACGUAAAUUUUAAAAGCGAAAAAUGAAAAAAAAUCAUAAAAUUCUUAAUAAUUAAAAAUGUGAUCUAAAAGUCGUUGCUACCAAGAGAAGCCUUAUGUCCUUGUUUCAAUUAGUUCGGUUCCAAACCUUCGAGCGGGAGACGCGUUACAGCGAGAAAUUCCCGCGCAGGAGAGGAAGACUGGACAAAGCGGAAGAAGCAGAAUAGGACGAGCAA